rnacentral:rRNA from 1 species
CGGGCAAAUUGCCCUCAGUACGGCGAGUGAAGCGGCAAAAGCUCAAAUUUGAAAUCUGGCUCCAUGCGGAGCCCGAGUUGUAAUUUGGAGAGGACACUUCGGGUGCGGCCACGGCAUAAGUUCCUUGGAACAGGACGUCAUAGAGGGUGAGAAUCCCGUCUUUGGCUGCUGGACCGCGCCCAUGCGAAGUUCCUUCGACGAGUCGAGUUGUUUGGGAAUGCAGCUCUAAGUGGGUGGUAAAUUUCAUCUAAAGCUAAAUAUUGGCCGGAGACCGAUAGCGCACAAGUAGAGUGAUCGAAAGGUUAAAAGCACCUUGAAAAGGGAGUUAAAUAGCACGUGAAAUUGUUGAAAGGGAAGCGCUUGCAACCAGACUCGGUCGUGGGGGCUCAGCGGGCAUGCGUGCCCGUGUACUCCCCCAUGCUCCGGGCCAGCAUCAGUUCUGGCGGUUGGUUAAAGGCCUCUGGAAUGUAUCGUCCUCCGGGACGUCUUAUAGCCAGGGGCGCAAUGCGGCCAGCCGGGACUGAGGAACGCGCUUCGGCACGGAUGCUGGCAUAAUGGUUGUAAGCGGCCCGUCUUGAAAAAAGAACACA